UUCUAGCCCCGAUUGCAGCGGCAUCCUUUUGUGGUGGCGGCCGAGCGUAGCGAGGUCGCCACAACAAAAGAUACAACGGAAAGCGGGAAUAGCU
rnacentral:sRNA from 1 species